rnacentral:lncRNA from 1 species
GCAGGUGAAUGCUUUCCAAUUUGAGAUAGCACGUCAUGAGGAGAUAAAUAGAGAAUGCUGGAGUGAGCAGACAGGCCAGGCUUAUAGAGAGCUGAAAAUGGAUAGUGAUGAUGCAAAAUUCCAGAUGGACUACCCUCUACUCUAGAGCUUUGCAAACUUCUGCUCAAAGAUGGGUAGGAAGAUUCUGUUGGCUGUGCAGGGAAAACCAAGAGAUAAUAGAAGGAAGUUUAACAAUCUGCUUCUAAGAAAGAAGGCAGCUCUGGAAGUAAACUGGUAGAGGCUCCUCAGAGAGUUCCCUCCUCCUAAGAUCUGUAUUAAAUGGGUUGUCUGGUAGUCCUUCAAAUCACCACUCUAAAUGUUCUUGGGAAACCAUUCAGUCUUCCAGGCCC